rnacentral:rRNA from 1 species
CAAGGUCUCCGUAGGUGAACCUGCGGAGGGAWCAUUACACAAAUAUGAAGGCGGGCUGGAACCUCUCGGGGUUACAGCCUUGCUGAAUUAUUCACCCUUGUCUUUUGCGUACUUCUUGUUUCCUUGGUGGGUUCGCCCACCACUAGGACAAACAUAAACCUUUUGUAAUUGCAAUCAGCGUCAGUAACAAAUUAAUAAUUACAACUUUCAACAACGGAUCUCUUGGUUCUGGCAUCGAUGAAGAACGCAGCGAAAUGCGAUAAGUAGUGUGAAUUGCAGAAUUCAGUGAAUCAUCGAAUCUUUGAACGCACAUUGCGCCCUUUGGUAUUCCAAAGGGCAUGCCUGUUCGAGCGUCAUUUGUACCCUCAAGCUUUGCUUGGUGUUGGGCGUCUUGUCUCUAGCUUUGCUGGAGACUCGCCUUAAAGUAAUUGGCAGCCGGCCUACUGGUUUCGGAGCGCAGCACAAGUCGCACUCUCUAUCAGCAAAGGUCUAGCAUCCAUUAAGCCUUUUUUUCAACUUUUGACCUCGGAUCAGGUAGGGAUACCCGCUGAACUUAAG